CUACGGGUGGCAGCAGUGGGGAAUAUUGGACAAUGGGCGAAAGCCUGAUCCAGCCAUGCCGCGUGUGUGAAGAAGGCCUACGGGUUGUAAAGCACUUUCAGUGGGGAAGAAAGCCUUGGGGCUAAUACCCUCGAGGAAGGACAUCACCCACAGAAGAAGCACCGGCUAACUCCGUGCCAGCAGCCGCGGUAAUACGGAGGGUGCGAGCGUUAAUCGGAAUUACUGGGCGUAAAGCGCGCGUAGGCGGUCUGAUAAGCCGGUUGUGAAAGCCCCGGGCUCAACCUGGGAACGGCAUCCGGAACUGUCAGGCUAGAGUGCAGGAGAGGAAGGUAGAAUUCCCGGUGUAGCGGUGAAAUGCGUAGAGAUCGGGAGGAAUACCAGUGGCGAAGGCGGCCUUCUGGACUGACACUGACGCUGAGGUGCGAAAGCGUGGGUAGCAAACAGGAUUAGAUACCCGAGUAGUC
rnacentral:rRNA from 1 species